GAAGCUGGGUAAACCUUACAGAUACUGGUGUUCAGGCUUGAAAACCUGGAGUGGACAUAUAUUCCCACCUACAUAUUCAUUCAGUAAAACAGUGACGUUACCUCUGAAGGAUGAACUUUAGAUAAUGAGAAAUGAAAUAUUUCCUGCCAUAUCAGUAAACAAAGGAUGUCACAGUCAUCUGCGCUUGCAGCCCUCCAAGGUGAGCUGGUGAACCCUGAGGGAACUCAAGAAGGAAAGAAUACCUGCCAUCUAGCAGCCAUCAAACUGCAGCCACUCCCCACGAUACGUCUUCCUGGUGGAAUAUCAUCUCCUCUCCUUACAACUACGUCCAAUGAUGCAGCAACCACAGCAAGAUUGUGUAGGCUUUAAAGAAGAUCAUCUUUUUUUUGGUACCAGUUGGUGGAACCAGAGGUGAAGAAGAACAGCUGAAGGUGUGUUUAGAGAAAGCACGCUCACUGUGUUCCCAAGAGAUGGAAAACACGGGCCUCCCUCUGUUGUGGCCUCUCCCGUUGCGGAGCACAGGCUCCGGACGCGCAGGCUCACGGGCCCAGCCGCUCCGCGGCACGUGGGAUCCUCCCAGACCCGGGCGCGAACCCGGUUCCCCUGCAUCGGCAGGCGGACGCGCAACCACUGCGCCACCAGGGAAGCCCCGGAAAACACUUUCUAUGAGGAAACAAAGAACCAACCGAAUUCUUUAAGAAUCUCUGAUGACAAAAUCACAUUUUCCUAUUUUCUUGCCUCUUCCACUAGUACAAACUGCAAACAGAAACACAUUCUUUUUCUUCAUAAUUAUGUAAUUACAAUAGUAGUUUUGUCGUGUUUCAUCGUGUACAUGUAGGGCAAUACACGAACAUGAGAUUGUUCAGUACAGAGAAUAUAAACUCUUGGUCACUAAUACACACAUGCAUGUGCACACAUCCAUUCUCCAAAGACAGAUCUGUGAGGGCAUUGGCCAAAAUGAAUUCUCAAUUAUUAUUUUUUUUGAUAGUUCUUUUACAUGGCGAAUAAAAAUAACUGAAUCAGGACACUUUCAGUGAAAGCAACAUUUCAAUUACAAAGUGUAAUGCCUGUUAAACUACUCAUGGAGAAGCUCAAAAGUCCCAGAAAAAGUUUUCAAUUUCUUGCAUGCGAGAAUAGUAAACAUAC